rnacentral:misc_RNA from 1 species
GGUUCGAUCAUGGCUCAGAUUGAACGCUGGCGGGAUGCUUUACACAUGCAAGUCGAACGGCAGCACGGACUUCGGUCUGGUGGCGAGUGGCGAACGGGUGAGUAAUGUAUCGGAACGUGCCUAGUAGCGGGGGAUAACUACGCGAAAGCGUAGCUAAUACCGCAUACGCCCUUCGGGGAAAGCGGGGGACCUUCGGGCCUCGCAUUAUUAGAGCGGCCGAUAUCGGAUUAGCUAGUUGGUGGG